GGUACUCGGAGGGAGGUCGUCCGUGGUGAGUUUGCAUUGUUUAAUAAUGCCCAAUACACGGUCGACCUCUUUUCGGUAUC
rnacentral:pre_miRNA from 12 species